AUGUCGCAAUAUUGGUGGGGCGAUGAUGCGGAUCAAAGAUGGAUGCAUUGGCUAGCUUGGUGGAAAAUGUGCAUCCCGAAGAAAUUUGGAGGAAUGGGAUUCAGGGAUAUCCAUUGCUUUAACCUUGCCUUGUUAGCUAAACAAGCAUGGAGACUAAUUGAGAAUCCUGAUUCUCUCUGUGCUACUAUUUUGCGUGCAAGGUAUUGUCCAUCAGGAGAUUUAUUAAACGCUGAGUUGAAAAAAGGGAGCUCCUUUACAUGGCAAAGUAUAUGGGCUGGGAUUAAUACAUUAAAACGUGGUCAUAUAUGGCGUGUGGGUGAUGGAACUAAUAUUGACAUCUGGAAAGACGAAUGGAUCCCU
rnacentral:rRNA from 1 species